CACCAUGGUCUAGUAACAUGACUUCUAGGACAGGAUUACCGUACCACUCUGGAGUGGAACGUGCUAUGUUCGACCUACGAGGUCCAGUAGUAACUUGAUCUGAAGUUUCGUGAUCAUCAUCAUUAGCUUCCUCUCUAGUCGAUGUAGGCAUCACAGGAACAUAUUUCUCUGAUGUACUACUUUCCAAUUCUAGAGAAGGUACAAUUACCUCAUCAAGUUCUACUUUCCUCCCACUCACUUCUUUCGAGAGAAACUCCUUCUCUAGAAAGGAUCCAUUCUUGCCAACAAAGAUCUUGCCUUCAAUCUGUGGUAGAAGGUGUACCCAAUUGUUUCCUUAGGGUAUCCUAUGAAGACACACUUCUCCGAUUUGGGUUCGAGCUUAUCAGGCUAAAGCCUUUUGACAUAAGUGUCGCAACCCCAAACUUUAAGAAAUGACAGCUUAGGUUUCUUGCCAAACCACAGUUCAUACAGUGUCGUCUCAGCGGAUUUAGACGGUGCCCUAUUUAACGUGAAUGCAGCUGUCUCUAAUGCAUAUCCCCAAAACGAUAGUGGUAAACCGGUAAGAGACAUCAUAGAUCGCACCAUAUCAAAUAAAGUACGGUUACGAUGUUCGGACACACCAUUACGUUGUGGUGUUCUAGGUGGCGUGAGUUGUGAAACAAUUCCACAUUGUUUUAAAUCAAGGCCAAACUCGUAACUCAAAUAUUUGCCUCCACGAUCAGAUCGUAUAAACUUUAUUUUCUUGUUAUGAUGAUUCUCCACUUCACUCUGAAAUUCUUUAAACUUUUUAAAUGCUUCAGACUUGUGUUUCAUCAAGUAGAUAUACCCAUACCUACUCAAAUCAUCUAUGACGGUCAGAAAAUAAUGAUACUCGCCGCGUGCUUCAACACUCAUUGGACCGCAUACAUCGACAUGUAUUAUUUCCAAUAAGUCGUUAGCUCGCUCCAUUGUUCCGAAGAAUGGAGUUUUAGUCAUCUUGCCAAUGAGGCAUGGUUCGCAAGUAUCAAACGAUUUAUAAUCAAGUGAUUCCGAAAAUCCAUCUGCAUGGAGUUUCUUCAUGCGCUUUACACCAAUAUGACCUAAACGACAGUGCCACAAGUAUGUUGCACUAUCAUUAUCAACUCUGCAUCUUUUGGCAUCAAUAUUAUGAAUAUUUGUAUCACUAUGACCGAGAUUCAAUAAACCAUUCACAUUGGGUGUAUGGCCAUAGAAGAUUUCGUUCAUGUAAACAGAACAACAAUUAUUCUCUGAUUUAAAUGAAUAAACAUGAUCCAAUCAUAUUCAUGCUCAACGCAAAAUAUUUAGGUUUAACACUAAUCCCGAAGGUAGAGGGAGCGUGCGAUGGUGAUCGUAUCAACCUUGGAAUUACUUCCAACACACAUCGUCACCUUGCUUUUAACUAGUCUCUGUUUAUUCUACAACUCCUGUUUUGAGUUACUAAUCUUUAGCAACUGAACCGGUAUCAAAUACCCAGGGGUUACUAUGAACACUAGUAAAGUACACAUCAAUAACAUGUAUAUCAAAUAUACCUUUGUUCACUUUUCCAUCCUUCUUCUCCACCAAGUAUUUAGGGCAGCUCCGCUUCUAGUGACCAUUCUCUUUGCAGUAGAAGCACUCAGUUUCAGGCUUAGGUCCAGCUUUGGGCUUUUUCACGGGAGUGGCAACUUGCUUGCCAUUCUUCUUGAAGUUCCCUUUCUUUCCCUUGCCCUUUUUCUUGAAACUAGUGGUCAUGUUAACCAUCAACACUUGAUGCUCUUUCUUGAUUUCUACCUUCGCCGAUUUCCGCAUCGCGAAGAGCUCGGGAAUUGUUUUCAUCAUCCCUUGCAUAUUAUAGUUCAUCACGAAGUUCUAGUAGCUUGGUGAUAGUGACUAGAGAAUUUUGUCAAUCACUAUCUCAUCUGGAUGAUUAACUCCCACUUGAUUCAAGCGAUUGUAGUAACCAGACAUUCUGAGCACAUGCUCACUGGCUGAGCUAUUCUCCUCCAUCUUGUAGACAAAGUACUUGUCAGAGGUCUCAUACCUCUCGACACGGGCAUGCGCCUGAAAUACUAAUUUCAGCUCUAUGAACAUCUCAUAUGCUCCGUGGCGUUCCAAAACAUUUUUGAAGUCCCGGUUCUAAGCCAUAAAGCAUGGCGCACUAAACUAUUAAGUAGUUGUCAUAUCGAGCUAGCCAAACGUUCAUAACGUCUGCAUCUGCUCCUGCAAUAGGUCUGUCACCUAGCGGUGCAUCAAGGACAUAAUUCUUCCGUGCAGCAAUGAGGAUAAUCCUCAGAUCACGGACCCAGUCCGCAUUAUUGCUACUAUCAUCUUUCAACUUAGUUUUCUCUAGGAACAUAUCAAAAAUAGGGGAGCUAAACCGCGAGCUAUUGAUCUACAACAUAGAUAUGCAGAAACUAUAAGACUAAGUUCAUGAUAAAUUAAGUUCAAUUAAUGAAAUUACUAAUGAACUCCCACUUAAAUUAACAUCCCUCAAGUUAUUUAAGUGAUAAGUCAUCCAAAUCAACUAACCCAUGUCUGAUCAUCACGUGAGAUGGGGUAGUCAUCAAUGGUGAACAUCUCUAUGUUGAUCAUAUCUACUAUAUGAUUCACGUUCGAUCUUUCGGUCUCCAGUCUUCCGAGGCCAUGUCUGUACAUGCUAGGCUCGUCAAGUUUAACCCAAGUAUUUCGCGUGUGUAAAACUGUCUUACACCCGUUGUAUGUGAAUGUAGAGUCUAUCACACCCGAUCAUCACGUGGUGUCUCGAAACGACGAACUGUAGCAACGGUGCAUACUCAGGGAGAACACUUUUACCUUGAUAUUUAGUGAAGGGAUCAUCUUAUAAUGCUACCGUUGUUCUAAGCAAAAUAAGAUGCAUAAAAGAUAAACAUCACAUGCAAUCAAAAUAUGUGACAUGAUAUGGCCAUCAUCAUCUUGUGCUUUUGAUCUCCAUCUCCAAAGCAUCGUUAUGAUCUCCAUCGUCACCGGAUCGACACCUUGAUCUCCAUCGUUGCGUCGUGGUCAUCUCGCCAACUAUUUCUUCUACAACUAUUGCUAACUCAUUGCGAUAAGGUAAAGCAAUUACAUGGCGUUUGCAUUUCAUACAAUAAAGAGACAACCAUAAGGCUCCUGCCGGUUGCCUGAUAUCUUACAAAAUAUGAUCAUCUCAUACAAUAACGUAUAUCAGAUAAUGUCUUGACCAUAUCACAUCACAAAAUCCCCUGCAAAAACAAGUUAGACGUCCUCUACUUUGUUGUUGCAAGUUUUACGUGGCUGCUACGGGUUUCUAGCAAGAACCGUUCUUACCUACGGCAAAAACCACAACGGUGAUUCAUCAAGUUUGCUGUUUUAACCUUCAACAAGGACCGGCCGUAGUCAAAUUCGAUUCAAGUAAGGUUGGUCCGGGCCGCUUCAUCCCACAAUACCGCAGAAUCAAAAUAAGACGUUGGUGGUAAGCAGUAUGACUCUCACCACCCACAACUCUUUGUGUUCUACUCAUGCAUAUCAUCUACGCAUAGACCUGGCUCGGAUGCCACUGUUGGGAAAUGUUGCAUGGAAAACAAAAAAAUUUACGCACACGCAAGAUCUAUCCAUGGAGAUGCAUAGCAACGAGAGGGGGAGAGUGUGUCUACGUACCUGCUACCUCUUGAGCACUGCGUUGGUUUUCCCUUGAAGAGGAAAGGGUGAUGCAGUAAAGCAGCGUAAGUAUUUCCCUCAGUUUUUGAGAACCAAGGUAUCAAUCCAGUAGGAGACCACGCACGAGUCCCUCGCACCUACACAAACAAAUAAAUCCUCGCAACCAACGCGAUAAGGGGUUGUCAAUCCCUACACGGUCACUUACGAGAGUGAGAUCUGAUAGAUAUGAUAAGAUAAUAUUUUUGGUAUUUGUAUGAUAAAGAUGCAAACUAAAAUAAAAGGCAAUAAAAAUAACUAAGUGUUGGAACAUUAAUAUAAUGGAAAAUAGACCCGGGGGCCAUAGGUUUCACUAGUGGCUUCUCUCAAGAGCAUAAGUAUUACGGUGGGUGAACAAAUUACUGUUGAGCAAUUGACAGAAUUGAGCAUAGUUCUGAGAAUAGCUAGGUAUGAUCAUGUACAUAGGCAUCACGUCCGAGACAAGUAGACCGACUCCUGCCUGCAUCUACUACCAUUACUCCACACAUCGACCGCUAUCUAGCAUGCAUCUAUAGUAUUAAGUUCAAAAGAACAGAGUAACGCUUUAAGCAAGAUGACAUGAUGUAGAGGGAUAAACUCAUGCAAUAUGAUAUAAACCCCAUCUUGUUAUCCUCGAUGGCAACAAUACAAUACGUGUCUUGCUGCCCCUACUGUCACUGGGAAAGGACACCGCAAGAUUGAACCCAAAGCUAAGCACUUCUCCUAUUGCAAGAAAGAUCAAUCUAGUAGGCCAAACCAAACCGAUAAUUCGAAGAGACUUGCAAAGAUAACCAAUCAUACAUAAAAGAAUUCAGAGAAGAUUCAAAUAUUGUUCAUAUAUAAACUUGAUCAUAAACCCACAAUUCAUCGGUCUCAACAAACACACCGCAAAAGAAGAUUACAUCGAAUAGAUCUCCACGAGAGAGGGGGAGAACAUUGUAUUGAGAUCCAAAAAGAGAGAAGAAGCCAUCUAGCUAAUAACUAUGGACCCGAAGGUCUGAGGUAAACUACUCACACUUCAUUGGAGAGGCUAUGGUGUUGAUGUAGAAGCCCUCCGUGAUCGAUGCCCCCUCCGGCGGAGCUCCGGAACAGGCCCCAAGAUGGGAUCUCACGGGUACAGAAGGUUGUGGUGGUGGAAUUAGGUUUUUGGCUCCGUAUCUGGUAGUUUGGGGUACGUAGGUAUAUAUAGGAGGAAGGAGUACGUCGGUGGAGCAACAUGGGGCCCACGAGGGUGGAGGGCAUGCCUGGGGGGGUAGGCGCGCCCCCUACCUCGUGCCCUCCUGGUUGAUGUCUUGACGUAGGGUCCAAGUCCUCUGGAUCACGUUCGUUCCAAAAAUCAUGUUCCCGAAGGUUUCAUUCCGUUUGGACUCCGUUUGAUAUUAUUUUUCUGCGAAACUCUGAAAUAGGCAAAAACAGCAAUUCUGGGCUGGGCCUCCGGUUAAUAGGUUGGUCCCAAAAAUAAUAUAAAAGUGUAUAAUAAAACCCAUUAAUGUCCAAAACAGAAUAUAAUAUAGCAUGGAACAAUAAAAAAUUAUAAAUACGUUGGAGACGUAUCAGUACCCUCGUAGAUCGUAAGCGGAAGCGUUUAACAACGCGGUUGAUGUAGUCGAACUUCUUCGCGCUCCAACCGAUCAAGUACCGAACGUACGACACCUCUGUGUUCUGCACACGUUCAGCUCGGUGGCGUCCUCCGCCUUCUUGAUCCAGCAAGACAGCGAGUUAGUAGAUGAGUUCCGACAGCACGAUGGCGUGGUGACAGUGAUGGUGAAGUGAUCUCCGUAGGGAUUCGCCUAAGUACUACGAAAGUAUGAACGGGGGUGUAAACGGUGGAGGGGGCGUCGCACACGGCUAGGCAAUUGUCUGUUAUCUACUAGGCGCCCCCAUCCCACAUAUAUAUAGGUGUGAGGGAGGGAGGAGCAGCCAAAGGAGGCGCCCAAGUAGGAGGAAUCCUACUUGGGGUCCCUCCCAAGCCGCGCCCCCUUUCCUUAUUUGGAGUGCGGGGAAAGGCAGGGGAGGGUGGCCCCCCUUUCCUUUCUCCCAUGAGAGGGAAAGGCAGGAGGGGCUAGCCCUCCCCCUUUUCCUUCCCUAAGGCUGGCCAAACAAGGGAGGGGGCGCACCAGCCCCCUUGCGGGCUGCUCUGUCCCCUCCUUUGGCCCAUAAGGCCCAUAUCUUGCCGGGGGGGUGCCCGGAACCCCUUCCGGUGACCCGAUUCAUUCCCGGUACGUCCCGAAACACUUCCGGUGUCCAAAUACCAUUGUCCUAUAUAUAUAUAUAUAUAUAUAUCAAUCUUUACCUCUUGACCAUUUGGAUACUCCUCGUCAUGUCUGUGAUCUCAUCCAGGACUCUGAAUAACAUUCGUUCACCAAAACAUAUAACUCAUAUAACACUAUAUCGUCAACGAACGUUAAGCAUGCGGACCCUACGGAUUCGAGAACUAUGUAGACAUGACCGAGACACGUCUCUGGUCAAUAACCAGUAGCGAAACCUGGAUGCCCAUAUUGGCUCCUACAUAUUCUACGAAGAUCUUAUAGGUCGAAUCGUUAUCACAACAUACGUAAUUCCCUUUGUCCAUCGGUAUGUUACUUGCCCGAGAUUCGAUCGUCAGUAUCUUCAUACCUAGUUCAAUCUCGUUACCGGCAAGUCUCUUUAAUUGUUCCGUAAUAUAUCAUCUUGUGACUAUCUCCUUAGUCAUUUGCUUGCAAGCUAAUGAUGUGUAUUACCGAGAGGGCCCAGAGAUAGCUCUUCGAUACUCGAAGUGACAAAUCCUAAUCUCGAUCUAUGCCAACUCAAAAAACACCUUCGGAGAUACCUGUAGAGCAUCUUUAUGAUCACCUAGUUACGUUGUGACGUUUGAUAGCACAGAAGGCAUUCCUCCGGUAUUCGGGAGUUGCAUAAUCUCAUAGUCGGAGGAAUAUGUAUUUGACAUGAAAAAGCAAUAGCAAUAAACUGAACGGUCAUUAUGCUAAGCUAACGAGUGGGUAUUGUCCAUCAAAUCAUCCUCCUAAUGACGUGAUCCCAUUAUCAAAUGACAACACAUGUCUAUGGUUAGGAAACCUUAACCAGCUUUGAUCAACGAGCUAGUCUAGUAGAGGCUCACUAGGGACUGAUACGUCCAUUUUGCAUUAUGUUUUCCUACUGUUAUUUAUGAUGUUUUUAUCCAUAAUAAUGCUUUUUGGAGUAAUUCUAAUGUCUUUUCUCUCUUAAUAUGCAAGGUAUACACAAAGAGGGAGAAUUCCGGUAGCUGGAAAUCUGGACCUGAAGAAGCUACGUCAGGCUACCUAUUCUGCACAACUCCAAAUGAGCUGAAACUUCACGAGGAUUUUUUAAGUAAAUAUAUGAGAAUUAUUGGAGAAAAUAACCACCAGAGGGGGCCCACCAGGUGGGCACAACCCACCUGGGCGCGCCAGGCAGCCCAGGCGCACGCAGACCCACCUCCGGUGCCCAUCUUCUGGUAUAUAAGUCAUUUUGACCUAGAAAAAAAAUAAGGGGAUGACUUUCGGGAUGGAGCGCCGCCGUCUCGAGGCGGAACUUGGGCAUGAGCCUUUGCCCUCUGGCGGAGCGAUUUGAUACGUCUCCAAUGUAUCUAUAAUUUUUGAUUGUUCCAUGCUAUUAUAUUAUCUGUUAUGGAUGUUUAAUGGGCUUUAUUAUACACUUUUAUAUUAUUUUUGGCACUAACCUACUAAUCGGAGGCCCAGUCCAAAUUGUUGUUUUUGCCUAUUUCAGUGUUUCGCAGAAAAGGAAUAUCAAACGGAAUCCAAACGGAAUGAAACCUUCGGGAGAGUUAUUUUUGGAACAAACGCAACCCAUGAGACUUGGAGAGGACGUCAAGGAAGCAACGAGGACGCCAUGAGGCAGGGAGGCGCGCCCAGGGGGGUAGGCGCGCCCCCCACCCUCGUGGGCCCCUCGUGGCUCCCCCAAUCGACUUCUUUCGCCUAUAUAUACUCAUAUACCCUGAAAACAUCAGAGAGCACCACGAAACCCUAUUUCCACCGCCGCAACCUUCUGUACCCGUGAGAUCCCAUCUUGGAGCCUUUUCCGGCGCUCCGUCGGAGGGGGAAUCGAUCACGGAGGGCUUCUACAUCAACACCAUCGCCUCUCCGAUAAUGUGUGGGUAGUUUACCUCAGACCUUCGGGUCCAUAAUUAUUAUCUAGAUGGCUUCUUCUCUAUCUUUGGAUCUCAAUACAAAGUUCUCCUCGAUCUUCUUGGAGAUCUAUUCGAUGUAAUUCUUUUCGCGGUGUGUUUGUUGAGAUCUGAUGAAUUGUGGGUUUAUGAUCAAGAAUAUCUAUGAACAAUAUUUGAAUCUCCUCUGAAUUCUUUUAUGUGUGAUUUGUUAUCUUUGCAAGUAUCUUCGAAUUAUCAGUUUGGUUUGGCCUACUAGAUUGAUCUUUCUUGCAAUGGGAGAAGUGCUUAGCUUUGGGUUCAAUCUUGCAGUGUCCUUUCCAGUGACAGCAGGGGCAGCAAGGCACGUAUUGUAUUGUUGCCAUCGAGGAUAAAAAGAUGGGGUUUAUAUCAUAUUGCUUGAGUUUAUCCCUCUACAUCAUGUCAUCUUGCCUAAUGCGUUACUCUGUUCUUAUGAACUUAAUACUCUAGAUGCAUGUUGGAUAGCGGUCGAUGUGUGGAGUAAUAUAAGUAGAUGCAGAAUCGUUUCGGUCUACCUGUCGUGGGCGUGAUGCCUAUAUACAUGAUCAUGCCUAGAUAUUCUCAUAACUAUGCACUUUUCUAUCAAUUGCUCGACAGUAAUUUGUUCACCCACCGUAAUAUUUAUGCUAUCUUGAGAGAAGCCACUAGUGAAACCUAUGGCCCCCGGGUCUAUCUUCCAUCAUAUAAGUUUCCGAUCUAUUUUAUUUUCUGAUCUUUACUUUUCAAUCUAUACAACAAAAAUACCAAAAAAAAUUAUCUUAUUAUCUCUAUCAGAUCUCACUUUUGCAAGUGGCCGUGAAGGGAUUGACAACCCCUUUAUCGCGUUGGUUGCAAGGUUCUUAUUUGUUUGUGCAUGUACGAGGGAUUUGCGUGUAGCCUCCUACUGGAUUGAUACCUUGGUUCUCAAAAACUGAGGGAAAUACUUAUGCUACUUUGCUGCAUCACCCUUUCCUCUUCAAGGGAAAACCAACGCAUGCUCAAGAGGUAGCAUGAUUCCGCCGGGGGAACUUCUCUCCCGGAGGGGGAAAUCAUCGUCAUCAUCAUCACCAACAACUCUCCCAUCUUGGGGAGGGCAAUCUCCAUCAACAUCUUCAACAACACCAUCUCAUCUCAAACCCUAGUUAAUCUCUUGUGUUCAAUCUUGUUACCGGAACUAUAGAUUGGUGCUUCUGGGUGACUAGUAGUAUUGAUUACAUCUUGUAGUUGAUUACUAUAUGGUUUAUUUGGUGGAAGAUUAUAUGUUCAAAUCCAAUAUGAUAUUUAAUACCCCUCUGAUCUUGAGCACGAUUAUCAUUUUUGAGUAGUUACUUUUGUUCUUGAGGUCAUGGGAGAAAUCAUGUUGAAAGUAAUCAUUUGAACUUGAUAUGUGUUCGAUAUUUUGAUAGUAUGUAUGUUGUGAUUCCCUUAGUGGUGUCAUGUGAACGUCGACUACAUGACACUUCACCAUAUUUGGGCCUAAGGGAAUGCAUUGUGGAGUAGCAAUUAGAUGAUGGGUUGCGAGAGUGACUGAAGCUUAAACCCCAGUUUAUGCGCUAUUCCGUAAGGGGCCGAUUGGAUCCAAAAGUUUAAUGCUAUGGUUAGAAUUUAUUCUUAAUACUUUUCUCAUAGUUGCGGAUGCUUGCGGAAGGGUUAAUCAUAAGUACGAGGUUUGUUCAAUUAAGAACAGCACCUAAGCACCGGUCCACCCACAUAUCAAAUUAUCAAAGUAGCGAACACAAAUCGAACCAACAUGAUGAAAGUGACUAGAUGAAAUUCCCGUGUACCCUCAAGAACGCUUUGCUUAUCAUAAGAGACCGUUUUGGCCUGUCCUUUGCCUCAAAAGGAUUGGGCUACGUUGCUGCACUUUUGUUACUACUAUCGUUACUUGCUCGUGACAAAUUACCUUCCUAUCAAACUACUCCGCUACUUACAAUUUCAGCACGUGCAGAAACUACCUUGCUGAAAACCACUUGUCAUUUCCUUCUGCUCCUCGUUGGGUUCGACACUCUUACUUAUCGAAAAGAGAUACAAUUGAUCCCCUAUACUUGUGGGCCAUCAAGGCUAUUUACUGGUGCCUUUGCCAGGGAGUGAAGCACCUUUGGUAAGUGGAAUUUGGUAAGGAAACAUUUAUAUAGUGUGCUAAAAUUUAUUGUCACUUGUUACUAUGGAAAACAAUCCUUUGAGGGGUUUGUUCGGGGUAUCUUCACCUCGUCCGGAACCACAAUUAGCUACCCCUCAACCUACUGCACCUACUAAAAAUAUUGAAUAUGAAAUUCCUUCGGGUAUGAUAGAACAACUGCUAGCUAAUCCUUAUGCAGGAUAUGGAACUGAACAUCCUGAUAUGCACUUGAUAUAUGUAGAACAAAUUUGUGGAUUGUUUAAGCUUGCAGGUUUACCCAGGGAUGAAGUUAUGAUUUUUUUUCCUUUAUCUUUAAAGGGAAAAUCAUUGGCAUGGUAUAGGCUAUGCGAUGAUAUUGGAUCUUGGAAUUGGAAUCGAUUGAAAUUAGAGUUCCACCAAAAAAAUUAUCCUAUGCAUAUAGUUAAUCGUGAUCGGAAUUAUAUAUAUAAUUUUUUGCCUCGUGAAGGAGAAAGUAUCGCUCUAGCUUGGGGGAGGUUGAAGUCAAUGCUAUAUUCAUGCCCCUGAGCUCUCAAGAGAAAUUAAUAUCCAGAACUUUUAUGCUCGGCUUUCUCGUAAUGAUCAAACCAUGCUUGAGACUUCUUGUGCUGGUUCUUUUCUGAAGAAGACUAUUGAAUUCCGGUGGGAUCUUUUGGAAAGAAUUAAAUGCAACUCUGAAGAUUGGGAACUCGACGAAGGUAAAGAGUUAGGUAUUAAGCUUAAGUAUGAUUGUGUUAAAUCUUUUAUGAAUACCGAUGCUUUUAAAAAGUUUAGCAGUAAAUAUCGACUUGACUCUGAGAUAGUAGCCUCCUUUUGUGAAUCAUUUGCUACUCAUGUUGAUCACCCUAAAGAGAAGUGGUUUAAAUAUCGCCCACCUAUUAAAGAAGAAAUCAAAUAACCGGUACCAGUUAAAGAAGAAACUAUAAUUUAUAAUGUUCAUCCAGUUGUUCCUUCUGCUUAUAUUGAGAAACCACCUUUUCCUGUUAGGAUAAAGGAACAUACUAAAGUUUCAACUGUGGUUAACAAAAGCUAUAUUAGAACACCUAAACCUAAUGAACAAAUUAAAGUAGAACCUAGUAUUGCUAUGGUUAAAGAUCUCUUGGAAGAAGAUAUGGAUGGGCAUGUUAUUUACUUGUGUGAAGAAGCUGCUAGAAUUGCCAAACCUGAUAAAAAAGGAUAAACAUAGACCAGUUGUUGGCAUGCCUGUCAUCUCAGUUAAAAUAGGAGAUCACUGUUAUAUGGUUUAUGUGGCAUAGGUUCUAGUGUGAGUGCUAUUCCUUACACCUUAUAUCAAGAAAUUAUGAAUGACAUAGCACCCGCAGAGAUAGAAGACAUUGAUGUUACUGUUAAACUUACUAAUAAAGACACUAUAUCACCAAUUGGAAUUGUUAGAGAUGUUGAAGUCUUGUGUGGGAAAAUAAAAUACCCUACUAAUUUUCGUGUUCUUGGUUCCCCACAAGAUGACUUUUGUCCCAUUAUCUUUGGAAGACCUUUCUUGAACACCGUUAAUGCUAAAAUAGAUUGCGAGAAACAAACUAUCGAUGUUAGUUUUGGUGAUGAAUCUCAUGAGUUUAAUUUUUCCAAGUUUAGUAGAAAGCUUCAUGAAAAAGAAUUGCCUAGUAAAGAUGAAUUAAUUGGUCUUGCUUCUAUUGUUGUGCCACCUACUGAUCCACUAGAACAAUAUUUGCUAGACCAUGAAAAUGAUUUACAUAUGCAUGAAAGAAAUGAAAUAGAUAAGAUCUUCUUUGAACAACGUCCUUUGCUUAAACACAAUUUACCUAUUGAAACUCUGGGAGGUCCUCCUCCACCUAAAGGUGAUCCUGUGUUUGAAUUAAAACAAUUGCCGGACACUUUGAAAUAUGCUUAUCUUGAUGAAAAGAAGAUGUAUCUUGUUAUUAUCAGUGCUAGCCUUUCAGAACAUGAAGAAGAAAGAUUAUUGAAAGUUCUAAGGAAGCACCGAGUUGCUAUUGCGUAUACUCUUGAUGAUUUAAAGGGCAUCAGUCCCACUCUAUGUCAGCAAAAAAUUAAUAUGGAACCUAAUGCUAAACCCAUUGUUGAUCACCAACAUCGGUUAAAUUCGAAGAUGAAAAAAGUGGUAAGAACGGAAAUAUUAAAACUUCUGGAAGUAGGUAUAAUCUAUCCUAUAGCUGAUAGUAGAUGGGUAAGUCCCGUUCAUUGUGUCCCUAAGAAAGGAGGUAUAAUUGUUGUUCCUAAUGAUAAGAAUGAACUUAUUCCACAAAGAAUUGUUACAGGCUAAAGAAUGGUAAUUGAUUUUAGAAAACUAAACAAAGCAACUAGAAAAGAUCAUUACCCUCUGCCUUUUAUUGAUCAAAUGCUUGAAAGUUAUCUAAGCACACACAUUUUUUCUUCCUUGAUGGAUAUUCUGGUUUUUCACAAAUACCUGUUUCUCAACCUGAUCAAGAAAAGACCACUUUUACUUGUCCCUUUGGAACUUAUGCUUAUAGACGUAUGCCUUUUGGUUUAUGUAAUGCACUUGCUACCUUUCAAAGAUGUAUGACUGCUAUAUUCUUUGACUUUUGUGAAGAGAUUGUUGAGGUUUUCAUGGACGACUUCUCUGUUUAUGGGAAGUCUUUUGAUGAUUGUCUAAGCAAUCUUGAUCGAGUUUUGCAGAGAUGUGAACAAACAAAUCUCAUCUUGAAUUGGGAGAAGUGCCACUUUAUGGUUAAUGAAGGCAUUGUCUUGGGUCAUAAAAUCUCUGAAAGAGGUAUUGAAGUGGACAAAGCUAAGGUUGAUGCAAUUGAGAAAAUGCCAUGUCCUAAAUAUAUCAAAGGUAUUCGUAGUUUCUUAGGUCAUGCUGGUUUCUAUAGGAGAUUUAUCAAAGAAUUUUCUUAAAUUUCUAGGCCUCUUACAAGUCUUUUGCAAAAAGGAUAUUCCUUUUGUUUUCGAUGAUGAUUGUUUAGAAGCCUUUGAAACACUUAAGAAAGCCUUAAUUUCGGCACCUAUUGUUCAACCACCUGAUUGGAACUUGCCUUUUGAGAUCAUGUGUGAUGCUAGCGAUUAUGCUGUUGGUGCUGUUCUAGGACAAAGAGUUGAUAAGAAACUGAAUGUUAUUCACUAUGCUAGUAAAACUCUAGACAGUGCCCAACGAAAUUAUGCUACUACUGAAAAAGAAGUCUUAGCAAUGGUGUUUGCUUGUGAUAAGUUCAGACCUUAUAUUGUUGAUUCUAAAGUAACUAUUCACACCGACCAUGCUGCUAUUAAAUAUCUUAUGGAAAAGAAAGAUGCUAAACUUAGACUUAUUCGAUGGGUUCUCUUGUUACAAGAAUUUGAUUAACAGAUCACUGAUAGAAAAGGAGUUGAGAACCCCGUAGCUGAUAAUUUAUCUAGGCUUGAACUGUGUGUGAUGACCCACUACCUAUUGAUGAUAGUUUUCCUGAUGAGCAGUUAGCUGCAAUAAAUGUUGCUCAUAGUACUCCUUGGUAUGCUGACUAUGCUAAUUACACUGUUGCUAAAUAUUUACCACCUAGUUUUACAAACCAACAAAGAAGAAAAUCUUCUAUGAUUUAAGACAUUACUUUUGGGAUGACCCACAUCUUUAUAAAGAAGGAGUAGAUGGUAUUAUUAGACAUUGUGUACCUGAGCAUGAACAGGGACAAAUCCUACGGAAAUGUCACUCCGAAGCUUAUGGAGGGCAUCACGCUGGAGAUAGAACUGCUCACAAGUAAUUGCAAUCUGGAUUUUAUUGGCCUACUCUAUUCAAGGAUGCCCGUAAGUUUGUCUUAUCUUGUGAGCAAUGUUAAAGAAUAGGUAAUAUCGGUAAGCGUCAAGAAAUGCCUAUGAACUAUUCACUUGUUGUUGAACCAUUUGAUGUUUGGGGAUUUGAUUACAUGGGACCUUUUCCUUCCUCUAAUGGGUAUACACAUAUUUUGGUUGCUGUUGAUUAUGUUACUAAGUGGGUAGAAGCUAUUCCAACCAGUAGUGCUGAUCACAACACCUCUAUUAAAAUGCUUAAGGAAGUUAUUUUCCCAAGGUUAGGAGUCUCUAGAUAUUUGAUGACUGAUGGUGGUUCACACUUUAUUCAUUGUGCUUUCCGUAAAAUGCUUGCCAAGUAUGAUGUUAACCAUAGAAUUGCAUCACCUUAUCAUCCUCAGUCUAGUGGUCAAGUUGAACUUAGCAAUAGAAAAAUAAAACUAUUUUUGCAAAAGACUGUUAAUAGUCCUGGAAGAAUUGGUCUAAGAAAUUAGAUGAUGCACUUUGGGCUUAUAGAACAACAUAUAAAAAUCCGAUGGGUAUGGUUUAUGGAAAAGCUUGUUAUUUGCCUCUUGAGUUAGAACAUAAAGCAUAUUGGGCAAUCAAAGAACUCAAUUAUGAUUUCAAACUUGCUGGUGAAAAGAGGUUAUUUGAUAUUAGCUCAUUAGAUGAAUGGAGAACCCAAGCUUAUGAAAAUUCAAAAUUAUUCAAAGAAAAAGUUAAAAGAUGGCACGAUAAAAGAAUCCAAAAGCGUGAGUUUAAAGUCGGAGAAUAUGUUCGUUUGUACAACUCUCGUUUCAAAUUCUUUGCAGGAAAAUUCCUCUCAAAAUGGGAAGGCCCAUAUGUCAUCGAGGAGGUUUAUCGGUCUGGAGCCAUCAAGAUAAAUAAUGCCGAAGGUACUAACCUGAAGGUUGUCAAUGGGCAAAGAAUAAAACAUUAUAUCUCAGGUACACCCAUUAAUGUUAUCCAAACUUUGACACCGAAAGAACACAUAAAAGAGUCCUUCCGGAACACUCUAGAAUCGUGAAAAUAAAGAGGUAUGUGAUACGGUAAGUAAACGGACUCCGAAAAAUCCGCAAAAAUAUUUUUUAUCAGUUUUGGAAUCUUUGGAAAAUUAGGAAAAUAAGAAACUUCCAGGAAGCGUACCCUGGUGGGCACAAGACACCAGGGCGCGCCAGGAAAGCCUGGCGUGCCCUGGUGUCUUGUGCCCACCUGGGGCACCUUCCGGACUCCGUUUUUCUUCCGUUUGCUUGUUCCCAAGAUAAAAAAUCUUUAUAUACUUCCCGAACCUGUUAACCACCGUAUCGCGGAGAAAUCCUCUGUCUUCUUUUCCUUGUUGUUUCCUGUCAGAUCCCAUCUACCAUGGCUGCUUCAAACUCCUCCAAGGACAAGUUCUUCAAGAACAUCAUCAACCCAUAUCUGCGGGAGGUGGUGCAGCACCCUCAAACCAUCUAGAUGCAUGAGGGGGUGCUUCACCUCCGCGAUAUGCAAGGACCCAAGGGGACUGGAACCGUGGAGGCCAGGCUUGAAGCUAUGGAACAGGAAGUCUUCCAGUGCAAGGGGAUGGUGGAGCGUGGACUCAACGCCAAUCACCUCAUGAUCACGGACCUCUCCCGUGAUCUCAAGGUGGAUGGCAAGACCAUGAAGGACAUCGUCUUCACCCUCAACGAGCAAAUCUCCAAAGCCAGAUCUAUGAUCUCCAAAACCAAGUCUUUGAAUAUGAGGCGAGGUUUAAAGGUAUGAGUUUGGCUGCUAGUUGCAGGACCCGCGAGAAUCACUCCUCCUACUUAUGGAAAUCCGAGGGCAAGAUCUCUUCUUCAUCACCACCACCUUCUUCUUCGUCACCAAAGGAUAAUUGAGUAUCAGGUAUGGGCACACCCCUUGGCUUUCACCAAUCUUGGGGGAGGUGCCCCGGUAUCAUAUCAUCCCACUAUCUUUUUGCCUUUACUUAUUUUAGUUCGAUCUUUUGCUUUAGAUGAAUAAAAGUUUAGUUCGAUCCUUUCUUUUCGAUAGUUUUGCUUAGUGAUCUAUGAGGAAAGUUAGUUUCAGUUUUUGCUUUCUUUACUGUCAUGUUGCAAUAAAAAGAAAGGAAAUAAAUUAAGAAGAUCAUAUGCUAAUCUUAUGGUAGGUGAUGACACCACAAAAGGAAAAGUAUAAGUAGGAAAUUUUAUUAGAGAUUGACAAACCCGAUUUUGGCAUGGUCAAGAAUCCGGGUUCGUAUGCAAAAGUUAGAGGCAACACUUCGCGGGUCGGCCCUGAGUGAGAAAGUAUUUGGCCUUUGCCGGCUGAAUGAAAACCUUGCCGGGGUAAAACAUUGCCGGUGUGAAGGCUUGCCGGUGUGGAAAGCUUGCCGGCGGAGAAGCUUGCCGGUGUGAAAUCUUGCCGAGGGAGAAACCUUGCCGGGGAGGAACUCUUGCUGGGAAGGAACCCUUGCCGAGGUAGAAACCUUGCCGGGGUUAAACCUUGCUGAUGUGAAAGCUUUCCAGGUAGAAACCUUGCCGGUGUGGAAAGCUUACCCGGGUGGAAGGCCUGCCGGGGUGGAGGCUGUGAUAGUCAAGCCGACGAGAAGUUGAAGAUGGGCUCAGAAGAUUAUUCAGAUAAUCUUGGAUGGAAAAGUGUUGUACACGGAAGUUGUCCAUCUCGUCAAAACGAUCAAUUUUGAUAUAAAGAUUGUCUCAAUCCGAGGUCGUAUGCAAAAGUUAGAACCCGCACAGCGAGACCCUCCAGCGAGCAAAAUAUGACGCCCGGAACCAGACACAUAUGUGGGUAUGUCUGAUGAGCUGCGUGAGUAAUUAGCUGUUUUGCGCGAAAGAUUUGACCCUCGAGAUGACCUCUGAUGAAAAAACGUUCAACAUGAAAGAUCUUCGUCUCGUCGAAACGGUCAAGAUUGCUUUUGGGCUCGUUUCCAUGUGAGGUCGUUUGUCACCACAAAAAGGACCCUCAAAGUACAGCCAGUUUAAACCGAACAGUUUUGGAAAGUUCGGAUAAAACCAGUCCGAAUUUGACUAGGGUUUUGGACAUAAAUUGAUGUAAUUUUCUUGCAAGGAAAGCCUAGAUAAAUCCUUUGCUUGUACGGGAAGUCCAGCCGCCUCUUAUAUAUGUUGGGGGUGACAGCCGAUUGAAACAACACAGAAUCGAACAAAUCAAUAUACUACUUUUUCAGUCUACGUUUUAUCUCUCCACCGUUUUUCUCUCUCGUUCUUCGUUGUUCUUCGUGUUUGAGAGCUGCGAAUCUCGAGGCUCUAGGGGCGAGAGAAUCGACCUAGGGCAGCCCAUAGCCGCCGCACUCCCUGACGGGGUCCCUCCCGGGGGUGUGGGGUUUUCGGGUCUGCAAAAGCGCCCGUCGACUAUCUUGCGUAUCGCACUAUCGGUCGGGUCUCCUUCGACGUGAGCUGCGUUGCAUCACCCCCGGCGUCGAGGGUACACGUGACGUGUUCGUGUGUCAACACACUUUUUGGCGACUCCGCUGGGGACUGAAAAUCAAUCGUCAUCAUCCACCAUGCCCGAUCUUCCCAAGCCAUCUGAGGUAGACGCUGAUGACAUCAUCAAGCCCAGUCUUGAUGAAAUAUCAGCCGAUCAUCGCCAAGUCUAUGAGGAGUACAAGAAGGCGCGCGAGGAGAAGGACUUGCAGGAGUUCCUUGCAAAGUUCAAUAAGGAUCGCCAAGGCAACAUCACUCCGAUUAAAGAAAUCAAGUUCCCUCCUCUUCAAGGCGAGCAGGUUAAACCCUCUGUGAGUACUACCUUUUCUCCUGAGCAGUGGACUGAGAUUGAGAGUCGUAUUGCUGAUGGUAACAAUCUGGUCUAUCAAACUUUCAUAGAAAAUACUAAUGCUCAGAAAAAUAUAUCUCAAUCAUCUAGUGGUAAUGAUGGUGUAGCUGCUAGUGUGCAAAACCCUAAUCUGGCUUUACCUAUCUCAUCGGCGCCUCCCAUGCCGAUGACUUAUUAUCCUACUCAAACAAAUCAGAUUGUGACUGCACCUAUUAAUCCUAUUAUGAGCAUGCCAGGUUCGGUGGCAACCCCGAACCAAACCCUACCUGCAGCUACAACCACUCGGCCAUUACCGAACUAUGGUUCGACAUACAUGCCACAGUUCCUACCUACUGCUAGUAGUCUUACUCCUCCUAUGCCGCUGCCACAAGUUGCAUCGUGCACUGUGGAUGAUGGUCUAGCUAAUCUUAGAGAGGAGAUGGCUAAGAUGCUCCGAGAGAAUUUUGGAGUUGCGUUACCUCGGAAUCGGAUUUACCAAAAAUCAUACCCCGAGUACUUUGAUGCUAUCCAGUGCCCUCCAGGAUAUAAGAUUCCAGAUUUUGUUAAGUUUAAUGGAGAAGGCACGAAAACCACAUGGGAGCAUGUUAGUCAAUAUUUAGCACAAUUGGGUGAGGCAGGCUCGCUAAAUGAAUUGAAAGUGCGUUUAUUUCCUUUGUCAUUAACUGGUACUGCAUUUUCAUGGUUUUCUUCUUUACCACAUGGUUCCAUUCGGGUUUGGUCGCAGCUAGAGCAGAAAUUUCAUGAUCACUUUUAUAGCGGCGACAAUGAACUCAAGUUGUCACAUCUAACAUCGGUUAAACAGAAGCAUGAUGAAUCGGUCUCCGAUUACGUCAAGAGAUUCAGAGAAACAAAAAACCGGUGUUUUAAUUUGGUGAUAACCGAAAGGGACUUGACGGACCUAGUGCUGAGUGGUUUGAGAACUCCCAUUAGAGAAAAGCUAGAAGGCUAUGAGUUCUUAAAUAUCAACCAAGUCUUACAAACGGCUUUGGCUCAGGAAAGCCGAAGCAAAGAUCUCAAAGAAGUGCAUAGAUGUAAAGCCGAUCGUCCAAAGAUGAAUAUGGUCGAAUAUGAUAGUGAUCACUCGGACGAUGAGGGUGAUGUUUUUGCUACUGAAUUUGUUUGGCCAUCUAAGGCCAAACCCUUUACUUGCAAUGAUAUAAAACCGAUUCAUAAGAAUCGUGAUGAAGACAUGAAGUUUACUUUUAACAUUGCUAAAUGUGAUAGAAUAUUUGAUGCUUUGCUACAGGCUAAGAUUAUUAGAAUAUCUCAUACUUUACCACCGUUUGAAGAGCUGAAACGGCGCGCUUAUUGCAAGUAUCAUAAUUCUUUUUCUCAUGCUACUAACGAUUGCAAUGUUUUUCGACGACAGAUACAAUCGCCCAUUAAUGACGGGCGAUUGAACUUUUCUGAGAUGCAAGUUGAUAAACAGCCUUUUCCAAUGAAUACCAUGGAUUUGGAGGGGAAGAAGCUACUCAUUCGGCCAGAGGUAGCCGAAUCUGCUAAUAAAGCUAAUGUUAUUGUUGGUGAGCCCAGGAAAGACAAGGAGGACAACAAGAUCUUGGGAAGACAAGUUGUGCUUGAUAAGCAACCCGGUGGCAAGGAGAUAAUCAAGAUCACCAUCAAGAAUCCGACACUCGGGGGGGCAACCACAAGUACAAAAGAACACUCAUGUCAGAUUUGUUAAGCCCAAGAGUCCAGAAGUUGGUAAGUGGAAGACGAAUUAAGCUAAAGUGCAGCGCAAGAAAAUCAAGCCAACUUUUGAUAUGUUGUUGUCAAAGUAUGCCAAUCAUGCGGCCAGUUCUAGCUCUAACCGGUCAUCAAAUUUGAAGCGCUCAAGGUCACCUCCUCGGGAAGAAUUUCAGCAUCAUGCGAGGCCAUAUGGGUCGUGGGCGCCGGGACCAUGGAUGCCGCCACUCCCCUAUGCGCCAUACUACAUGGGAGGUUUCAAUGGAGGAUGGGGGCAGCCCCCAAUGGCCCCUUAUGCUUUUGAUCCGGGUUGGGCAGAACCAAGGAGGCCCGUUCACGAGAGACUUUCUUAUCCCACACGAGGUCGUUUGAACAAUGGUGUCAAUCGGCCAGUGCAAGAUAAUCAAAAAAGGGUCGGCAAGCAAGAAUGGCGUGUUAAGUCGCCAAGUGCUGCAACGGUUGAGUCAAGCAAAGGCAAGGAAAAAACCGAUGCUGACUCACUCAUCUUGGGCACCGAAACAUUCACCAUACAACAGCCGAUUAUGCAUAGCAAUCCGACUGAGCUGAUACUUGCUAUCGCGCCAAAGCACUCGGCUAAUGACCUUGAAGGAAACACCAGCCAAGUAAAGACGAGAGAUCCUAAAUACACUCAGCCAAAGUGGUGUCCUCCAGGGCUGACAAAGACACAAAAGAGGAUACUACAGAGGUUAAGGAGUCAAGAGAUGACAGAACAAGAGGCCGAGAAGCAAAGGGAUAAGUUGUUCAAUGACACUCGGCCCAUGUUGCCUACAAAACAAGUGUGGAGGCCUAAACAAAUACAAGAUGCAGUGGCUUCUACACCUAUCAUAGCAGCACCUGCGCCACCAAAGGAGGACGAUGCGACAGCUAUUACAUCGUCUGCGACAGCUAUUACAUCGUCUGCGACACUUCUUACUUCUCCUUCACUUGGACAGAUUUCAGAAUCGGUGGAUGCACUUGAAGAAGAGGAUGAUAUGUUGGAUUAUGAGUCUAGACCGGUUCAUGAAGGUAUGGAUAUCAAUAUGGUAUAUUACUUACCUGCUGAGUUUCGUGCUGUAGAUGAGGAAGGGGAGAUGGCUCAGCUCGAUUUUGGCCCGAAAAACGCAAUAUUCGAGAAGCCAAAAGACCCAGUAACGCAUCUGAAACCGUUAUAUCUCAGAGGUCGUAUCAAUGGGUCACCGCUCACUCGGAUGCUUGUUGACGGUGGUGCUGUGGUGAAUCUUAUGUCGUAUUCGGUCUUUAAAAAAUUGGAGCUGCAUGAUGAAGAGUUGAUAAAGACCAACAUGGUGCUCAAUGGAUUUCAAGGCAAAGAGAAAACUGAAGCCAAAGGUGUGAUGUAUGUGGAGCUCACGGUGGGAAUUAAAACUUUGGCUACCGCAUUCUUUGUCGCAGAGGUGCAAGGUAACUACAACGUCAUACUAGGCCGUGAUUGGGUUCAUGCAAACCAGUACGUGCCAUCCACUAUGCACCAGUUUUUUAUCCAGUGGGUUGAUGAUGAAGUGCAAGUCAUUCAUGCGGAUAACUCUGCCUGUGUUGCUUUGGCCGAGGCAUCGGUGGAUUGGCAACACCCAAAUGCUACUUGCUUGACGGGACGUGACUUGUCAGAGUUCGAUUUUCUCAGCGCGACCAAGAAUGAUUUCGUGCCCGUCUCUUUAAAGCCGACUGAAUGCAAUCGGCUCCAAGGUAUGAUAUGUUUAAAUGGAUCCGAACUCAGAGUGGUUACAAAAGCGACUUGUAGAAUAUCGGUCCAAUGAGAAUGAUAUGUAUGAGUCCAUAGACGAGUUAGAUGAUAUGGAUAAAUUAGGACAAGGUUUUACAUCGGCCGAUCUAUUAGAAGAGAUAGAUAUAGGAGAUGGUUCAAUUUCUAGGCCGACGUUUAUAAACAAAAAUUUGAAAGCCGAUUGUAAAGCUAAGUUAAUUGAGCUAUUGAAAGAAUAUGUUUGUUGCUUUGCAUGGGAAUAUCAUGAGAUGCCAGGUUUAAGCCGAGAGCUAGUGGAGCAUCAGUUACCUAUAAAGGCUGGUUUUAGACCAUAUAAACAAUCGGCCAGGAAGUUUAAUCCAAAAACAUAUGACCGAAUCAAGGAAGAGAUCGGUCGUUUGCUUAAAGCUAAUUUUAUUAGACCUUGCAGGUAUGCCGUGUGGAUUUCUAACAUUGUCCCAGUGGAGAAGAAAGGAUCCGGCAAAUUGAGGGUGGGCAUUGACUUCAGAGAUUUGAAUAGGGCUACACCCAAAGAUGAGUAUCCCAUGCCAAUAGCCGAUAUGCUUAUUAAUGAUGCUUCUGGACAUAAGGUUAUUAGCUUUCGAGAUGGUAAUGCCGGAUACAAUCAAAUUUUUAUGGCCGAAGAAGACAUGUCCAAGACAGCUUUUCGAUGCCCUGGUUUCCUUGGUUUAUUCGAGUGGACAGUGAUGACAUUUGGAUUAAAAAAUGCUGGAGCAACAUAUCAAAGGGCUAUGAAUUUAAUCUUUCAUGAUUUACUCGGUGUCAUACUUGAAGUCUAUAUUGAUGAUAUUGUUGUCAAAUCGGAUGCUUUUGAAUCUCACUUGGCCGAUUUGCGUUUAGCUUUUGAAAGAAUGAAAAAGUAUGGACUGAAGAUGAAUCCUUUGAAGUGUGCAUUCGGCGUGUCAGCUGGUAAGUUUUUGGGUUUCAUUAUCCAUGAAGAUGGCAUAGAGAUUGAUCCCAAAAAGAUAAAGGCCAUACAGAAAGUGGAGGCUCCAACAUGCAAGAGAGAUAUGCAAAAGUUCCUUGGCAAGGUCAAUUACUUGAGGAGGUUCAUAGCUAAUCUGUCAGGGAAGGUUGAUGCGUUUACUCCUAUCCUUUGGUUAAAGAAUGAUGCUGAUUUCACUUGGGGGGCAAAACAACAAGAAGCAUUUGAUAUGAUCAAGAAUUAUUUGUGCACUCCUCCGGUGAUGAAAGCACCCAAGCAUAGGGAACCCUUCAGGCUUUACAUUGCAGCAGAGGAAGGAGUUAUUGGUGUUGUUCUGACUCAAGAAACCGAAGGAAAAGAGCAUGCCAUCACUUAUUUGAGCCGCCGCUUAUUGGAUGCCGAGACAAGGUAUACAUUUGUUGAAAAAUUAUGUCUAUGUUUAUAUUAUGCUUGCACAAAAUUGAGACAUUUUUUAGUACCGAGUGCUUGCGUAGUAGCUUGUCAAACCGAUGUUAUUAAGUACAUGCUGCAUAGGCCAAUUCUUAGUGGUAGAAUUGGCAAGUGGGCUUAUGCUUUGAUUGAAUAUGAUUUGGCUUAUGAAUCUCUAAAAUCCAUGAAAGUCCAAAUCGUUGCUAAUUUUAUUGUUGAACAUCGGAUUGAUGACAAGCAUGACAUUGAUAUAAACCUUGUCUCAUUAGUACCGUGGAGAUUAUAUUUUGAUGGUUCAGUUUGUAGCAAUGGCCAAGGUGUUGGUAUUGUUUACGUAUCUCCUCAUGGUGCUGUUUUUGAAUCCUCAUGCCGCUUAGAAUAUUUUUGUACAAACAAUCAAACCGAAUAUGAAGCAUUGUUAUUCGGCCUAGAGAUGUUACUUGCUAUAGGUGUUACACAUAUUGAGGCUUAUGGUGAUUCGUUAUUAGUAGUCCAACAAAUAUCCAAAGUCUUUCAAUGUUUUGACGAAUCUCUUAAUGUUUAUCUUGAUAAAUGUCUAGAUAUAAUUUCUACUUUGGAUUAUUUUAGCAUUGCUCAUAUAUCUAGACAUGACAAUUGGAAAGCAAAUGAGUUGGCACAACACGCAUCUGGCUAUCAUGUUGAUCAUGGCGUGUUUCAUAUUUCUGAAAAGCCAUUGUCGAGUCUUGCCAACAUAGGGGAGGCCGAACCGGAGCCCACCGUUUCGGCCACUAAUGAAAUAUUCAAUGCAGGAGAAAAUCAAGACUGGAGGAAACCCAUUGUUGAUUAUUUGUGUGAUCCUAGUAGAAGGGUGGACAGGGCUGUUCAGCGUAUGGCUUUUAAAUACACAAUGAGAGAUGAUGGUCUCUAUCGCCGAACGGUUGAUGAUGUUCUUAUAAAGUGCUUGGACGAGGACCAAGCGAGAGUUGCUAUGGGGGAGGUCCAUGAAGGUAUUUGUGGCACUCAUCAGCCGGCUCCCAAGAUGAAAUGGUUGCUACGACAUGCUGGAUUUUAUUGGCCGACUAUGAUUAAUGAUUGCUUCAGAUAUUACAAAGGGUGUGAAGCUUGUCAAAAAUUUGGUGAUAUUCAGUUGGCUCCUGCUGCUAUGUUACAUCCCAUUAUCAAGCUGUGGCCUUUCAGAGGAUGGGGUUUAGACUUUAUUGGACAAAUUCAUCCGUCUUCCUCAAAGGGGCAUCGGUUCGUAUUGGUGGCAACCGAUUAUUUCACUAAAUGGUCUGAAGCGGUACCUCUCAAGAACAUGACACAUGCGGAGGUAAUUAAAUUCAUAAUCGAGCACAUUAUUCAUAGAUUUGGCGUUCCUCAAACGUUGACUACAGAUCAAGGCUCAUCUUUUAUGUCAUACCAAGUCAGAGAAUUUGCCGAAUCUUAUAACAUAAAGUUGCUCAAUUCCUCUCCAUAUUAUGCCCAAGCCAAUGGACAAGCUGAGUCUAGCAAUAAAAUUUUAAUCAAACUCAUCAUGAAGAAGAUUGAGGAUAAUCCAAGGAGAUGGCAUGAGUUGUUGUCUGAGGCUUUAUGGGCACAUAGGAUCUCAAGGCAUGGUGCUACGAAGGUGACUCCAUAUGAGCUAGUAUAUGGUCAAGAGGCUGUUUUACCGGUGGAAGUAAAUUUGAAUGCUUUGAGAAUAGCCAAGCAAAAUGAUUUAUCGGCAGUAGACUUUUAUAACUUAAUGAUGGACAACAUUGAUGAAGUUGCCGAUAAAUGUUUGGUUGCUUUGAAGGCCAUAGAGAGAGACAAGUUGAGGGUGGCAAGAGCUUACAAUAAGAAAGUUAAGUUGAAGAAUUUUCAAGUUGGUGAUCUCGUCUGGAAAGUAAUUCUGCCGAUUGGUUCAAGAGAUAAAAAAUUCGGGAAGUGGUCCCCAAGUUGGGAAGGUCCUUUUAGGAUUACAAGAAUAGUUCCCGGAAACUCAUAUUUGGUGGAAUCCAUACAAGGGGCAUUGUUACCUCGAGCUCUCAAUGGCAAGUACUUGAAGAAAUAUCACCCGAGUGUGUGGCAAGAAGCCUAAAUAGGCAAUCGUCGAUACAUAAUUAUCGCCCUAAGAAAAAUAAAUGGCCGAUGGGGUGUUGACAUCGUCCUUAGAACAAACACAGUACAAGUUAUUUUUCGGCACACAAGCUUUGCCGAAAAACAGAGGGGCAUGUGUUGACACCAGAUUUUGGCAUGGUCAAGAAUCCGGGUUCGUAUGCAAAAGUUAGAGGCAACACGUCGCGGGCCGGCCCUGAGUGAGAAAGUAUUUGGCCUUUGCCGGCUGAAUGAAAACCUUGCCGGGGUAAAACCUUGCCGGUGUGAAGGCUUGCCGGUGUGGAAAGCUUGCCGGCGGAGAAGCUUGCCGGUGUGAAAUCUUGCCGAAGGAGAAACCUUGCCGGGGAGAAACUCUUGCCGGGAAGGAACCCUUGCCGAGGUAGAAACCUUGCCGGGGUUAAACCUUGCUGAUGUGAAAGCUCGCCGGGUAGAAACCUUGCCGGUGUGGAAAGCUUACCCGGGUGGAAGGCCUGCCGGGGUGGAGGCUGUGAUAGUCAAGCCGACGAGAAGUUGAAGAUGGGCUCAGAAGAUUAUUCAGAUGAUCUUGGAUGGAAAAGUGUUGUACAUGGAAGUUGUGCGUCUCGUCAAAACGAUCAAUUUUGAUAUAAAGAUCGUCUCAAUCCGAGGUCGUAUGCAAAAGUUAGAGCCCGCACAGCGAGACCCUCCAGCGAGCAAAAUAUGACGCCCGGAACCAGACACAUAUGUGGGUAUGUCUGAUGAGCUACGUGAGUAAUUAGCUGUUUUGUGCGAGCGAUUUGACCCUCGAGAUGACCUCUGAUGAAACAAAGUUCAAUAUGAAAGAUGUUCGUCUCGUCGAAACGGUCAAGAUUGCUUUUGGGCUCGUUUCCAUCUGAGGUCGUUUGUCACCACAAAAAGGACCCUCAAAGUACAGCCAGUUUAAACCAAACAGUUUUAGAAAGUUCGGAUAAAACCAGUCCGAAUUUGACUAGGGUUUUGGACGUGAAUUGAUGUUAUUUUUCUUGUAAGGAAAGCCUAGAUAAAUCCUUUGCUUGUACGGGAAGUCCAGCCGCCUCUUAUAUAUGUUGGGGGUGACGGCCGAUUGAAACAACACAGAAUCGAACAAAUCAAUAUACUACUUUUUCAGUCUACGUUUUAUCUCUCCACCGUUUUUCUCUCUCGUUCUUCGCUGUUCUUCGUGUUUGAGAUCUGUGAAUCUCGAGGCUCUAGGGGCGAGCGAAUCGACCUAGGGCAGCCCAUAGCCGCCGCACUCCCUGACGGGGUCCCUCCCGGGGGUGUGGGGUUUUCGGGUCUGCAAAAGCGCCCGUCGACUGUCUUGCGUAUCGCACUGUCGGUCGGGUCUUCUUCGACGUGAGCUGCGGUGCAUCACCCCCGGCGUCGAGGGUACACGUGACGUGUUCGUGUGUCAACAGAUGCAACUCAUGAAAGAAUUAAUAAGGGAAGAGAAGAUUCACAUAUAAAUAUACUAUCCUAGAAAUCUUUUGUGAUUGUGAGCCCUCAUCAAAAUAUUAUAUGCCAAAAUUGUUGACAUUGGACAAGGAAGACAACUUAAUGGUUUAUAUUUGUUUAUAUUCACAUAGAAGUCAUAUUGUCAUAGAUCCUUCAAUAGGUUGUUCUUGCCCCCUAUCUUUGCUAGCCAAAAAUUCCGCACUAAGUAGAGAUACUACUUGUGCAUUCAAAAACCGUUAAACCCAAAUUUUAUUUUCAAGUGUCCACCAUACCUACCUAGGGAUUGAGCAAGAUCCCUCAAGUAAGUUGUCAUCGGUGCAAAAAGGCAAUAAAAAGUGCUUUUAAAUGUGUGAGAUCAUUUAGUGUAAGAGAAAAUUGAGCGUUGCACAAACUUGUGAUGGUGAAGAAUAAAAGCGACAGACUGCAUAAUAAAGGUCGCUAUCACAAGGGGCAAUGCAACGUGACGUUCUUCUGCACUAAGGGGUUGAGCAUACAAACAAAUAAACGCAUGGCAACCUCUGCUUCCCUCUGCGAAGGGCCUAUCUUUUACUUUUAUGUAUUUACUUUUAUGCAAAGAGUCAAAGUUUUCCUUCUAUUCCUUUUUAUUUUUCUCCUUUGGCAAGGAUCAUGUGGUGAGGAAAGAUCUAGGCACAUAUGUCCAGUUGAAUAUAGAUAGCAUGAGUUAUUAUUGUUGACAUCACCCUUGAGGUGAAUACGUUGGGAGGCGAAACUAUAAGCCCCUAUCUUUCUAUGUGUCCGGUUGAAACGUUUUGCUCAUGUGUACGCGGUGAGUGUUAGCAAUCAUAGAAGACUAUAUGAUGGUUGAGUAUGUGGACUUGCCUAAAGGCUCCGAUAGGUGACCCUUCCUGAAAAGAUGAUGAAUUGUAGUUGCAAAGUUGACUGAGAACAUAGUUUGUUGGCUUUUAAUAGAGUUUUUGCUUUAUACUUCGAUUGUGUGAUGAAUUGUCACUUAUUCAUGAGAAGUCUAUGAUAAAUGUUCUAUGAUAAAAGUCUUAUGUUUAAAUUUGUUGUUGUUAUAAUAAUGAACAUGAUGCUUCUAUGUCCAUAUUUUGUUUUUAUCGACACCUCUCUCUCAAAGCAUGUGGACAUGUUUUUCGAUUUCGGUUUUCGCUUGAGGACAAGCGAGGUCUAAGCUUGGGGGAGUUGAUACAUCCAUUUUGCAUCAUGUUUUCCUACUGUUAUUUAUGAUGUUUCUAUCCAUAAUAAUGCUUUUUGCAGUAAUUCUAAUGCCUUUUCUCUCUUAAUAUGCAAGGUAUACACAAAGAGGGAGAAUUCCGGUAGCUGGAAAUCUGGACCUGAAAAAGCUACGUCAGGCUACGUAUUCUGCACAACUCCAAAUGAGCUGAAACUUCACGAGGAUUUUUUUAUGUAAUAUCUGAGAAUUAUUGGAGCAAAUAACCACCAGAGGGGGCCCACCAGGUGGGCACAAUCCACCUGGGCGCGCCAGGCAGCCCAGGUGGGCCCUGGUGGGUUGUGCUCACCCAGGCCCACCUCCGGUGCCCAUCUUCUGGUAUAUAAGUCAUUUUGACCUAGAAAAAAAGGGGAGGACUUUUGGGACGGAGUGCCGCCGUCUCGAGGCGGAACUUGGGAAGGAGCACUUUUGCCCUCCGGUGGAGCGAUUCCGCCAGGGGAACUUCCCUCCCGGAGGAGGAAAUCAUCGGCAUCAUCAUCACCAACAACUCUCCCAUCUUGGGGACGGCAAUCUCCAUCAACAUCUUCAACAUCACCAUCUCAUCUCAAACCCUAGUUCAUCUCUUGUGUUCAAUCUUGUUAUCGGAUCUAUAGAUUGGUGCUUGUGGGUGACUAGUAGUGUUGAUUACAUCUUGUAGUUGAGUACUAUAUGGUUUAUUUGGUGGAAGAUUAUAUGUUCAGAUCCAAUAUGCUAUUUAAUACCCCUCUGAUCUUGAGCAUGAUUAUCAUUUGUGAGUAAUUACUUUUGUUCUUAGGGUCAUGGGAGAAAUCAUGUUGCAAGUAAUCAUGUGAACUUGAUAUGUGUUGGAUAUUUUGAUAGUAUGUAUGUUGUGAUUCCUUUAGUGGUGUCAUGUGAACGUCGACUACACGACACUUCAACAUAUUUUGGACUAAGGGAAUGCAUUGUGGAGUAGCAAUUAGAUGAUGGGUUGCGAGAGUGACAGAAGCAUAAACCCCAGUUUAUGCGCUAUUCCGUAAGGGACCGAUCGGAUCCAAAAGUUUAAUGCUAUGGUUAGAAUUUAUUCUUAAUACUUUUCUCGUAGUUUCGGAUGCUUGCGGGAGGGUUAAUCAUAAGUAGGAGGUUUGUUCAAGUAAGAACAGCACCUAAGCACCGGUCCACCCACAUAUCAAAUUAUCAAAGUAGCGAACGCAAAUCGAACCAACAUAAUGAAAGUGACUAGAUGAAAUUCCCGUGUACCCUCAAAACGCUUUGCUUAUCAUAAGAGACCGUUUUGGCCUGUCCUUUGCCUCAAAAGGAUUGGGCUACCUUGCCGCACUUUUGUUACUACUAUCGUUACUUGCUCGUUACAAAUUACCUUGCUAUCAAACUACUCCGCUACUUAGAAUUUCAGCACCUGUAGAAACUACCUUGCUGAAAACCACUUGUCAUUUCCUUCUGCUCCUCGUUGGGUUCGACACUCUUACUUAUCGAAAAGAGAUACAAUUGAUCCCCUACAUGAAUAAAACCUUUAUGGUCAUACACCCAAUGUAAAUGGUUUAUUGAAUCUCGAUCGUAGUGAUACACAUAUUCACAAUAUUGAUGCCAAAAGAUGCAAAGUUGAUAAUGAUAGUGCAACAUAUUUGUGGCACUUCUGUUUAGGUCAUAUUGGUGUAAAGCGCAUGAAGAAACUCCAUGUGGGUGGACUUUUGGAAUCACUUGAUUAUGAAUCAUUUGAUACUUGCGAACCAUGCCUCAUGGGCAAGAUGACUAAAACUCCGUUCUCCGGAACAAUGGAGCGAGCCAAUGACUUAUUGGAAAUAAUUCAUACCGAUGUAUGCGGCCCGGUGAGUGUUGAGGCACGUGGCGGGUAUCAUUAUUUGAUGACCUUCACAGAUGAUUUGAGUAGAUUUGGGUAUAUCUACUUAAUGAAAAUCAAGUGUGAAAAAUUUGAAAAGUUCAAAGAGUUUCAGAGUGAAGUGGAGAAUCAUCGCAACAAGAAAAUAAAGUUUCUACGAUCUGAUCGCGGAGGCGAAUAUUUGAGUUACGAGUUUGGCCUUCACUUAAAACAAUGUGGAAUAGUUUCACAACUCACGCCACCUGGAACACCACAGCGUAAUGGUGUGUCCGAACGUCGUAACCACACUUUAUUAGAUAUGGUGCGGUCUAUGAUGUCUCUUACCGAUUUACCACUAUCGUUUUUGGGGUUAUGCAUUAGAGACAGUUGCAUUCACAUUAAAUAGGGCACCAUCUAAAUUCGUUGAGACAACAUCGUAUGAAUUGUGGUUUGGCAAGAAACCUAAGCUGUCGUUUCUUAAAGUUUGGGGUUGCGACACUUAUGUCAAAAGGCUUCAGCUUGAUAAGCUCGAACCCAAAUCGGAGAAGUGCAUCUUCAUAGGAUAUCCUAAGGAAACAAUUGGGUACACCUUCUACCAUAGAUCUGAAGGCAAGAUCUUUGUUGCCAAGAAUGGAACCUUUCUAGAGAAGGAGUUUCUCUCGAAAGAAGUGAGUGGAAGGAAAGUAGAACUUGAUGAGGUAAUUGUACCUUCUCCCGAAUUGGAAAGUAGCACAUCAGUGAAAUCCGUUCUCGUGAUGCCUACACCAACUAGAGAGGAAGCUAAUGAUGAUGAUCAUGAAACUUUGGAUCAAGUUACUACUGGACCUCGUAAGUCGAACAGAGCACGUUCCGCGCCAGAGUGGUACGGUAAUCCUGUCCUGGAAGUCAUGUUAUUAGACCAUGGCGAACUUACGAACUAUUAAGCUAUGAUGAGCCCAGAUUCCGACAGAUGGCUUGAGGCCAUGAAAUCUGUGAUAGGAUCCAUGUAUGAGAACAAAGUGUGGACUUUGGUGGAUUUGCCCGAUGAUCGGCAAGCCAUUGAGAAUAAAUGGAUCUUCAAGAGGAAGACGGACGCUGAUAGUAGUGUUACUAUCUACAAAGCUCGACUUGUCGCAAAAGGUUUUUGACAAGUUCAAGGUGUUGACUAAGAUGAGAUUUCUCACUCGUAGCGAUGCUUAAGUCUGUCCGAAUCAUGUUAGCAAUUGCCACAUUUUAUGAAAUCUGGCAAAUGGAUGUCAAAACUGCAUUCCUUAAUGGAUUUCUUAAAGAAGAGUUGUAUAUGAUGCAACAAAAAGGUUUUGUCGAUCCUAAAGGUGCUAACAAAGUGUGCAAACUCCAGCGAUCCAUCUAUGGACUGGUGUAAGCAUCUCGGAGUUGGAAUAUACGCUUUGAUAAGGUGAUUAAAGCAUAUGGUUUUAUACAGACUUAUGGUGAAGCCUAUUUUUGCAAGAAAGUGAGUGGGAGCUCUGUAGCAUUUCCGAUAUUAUAUGUGGAUGACAUAUUGUUGAUUGGAAAUGAUAUAGAAUUUCUGGAUAGCAUAAAAGGAUACUUGAAUAAGAGUUUUUUAAUGAAAGACCUCGGUGAAGCUGCUUGCAUAUUAGGCAUCAAGAUCUAUAGAGAUAGAUCAGGACGCUUGAUAAGACUUGCCUGUAUUGUAAGGAGUGAAGUUGACUAAAGACUCAAAACCCGACCAUGGCAGAAGAUAGAAAGAGAAUGAAAGCCAUUCCCUAUGCCUCAGCCAUAGGUUCUAUAAAGUAUGCCAUGCUAUGUACCAGACCUGUUGUGUGCCUUGCUAUGAGUUUGGCAAGGGGGUACAAUAGUGAUCCAGGAGUAGAUCACUGGACAGCGGUCAAAAUUAUCCCUAGAGGACUAAGGAAACGUUUCUCGGUUACGAGGAUGCAAGCAUUAACACUAAUCUAGAUGACUCUGAGUCUCAAUCUGGAUACGUAUUGAAAGUGGGAGCAAUUAGCUAGAGUAGCUCCAUGCAGAGCAUUGUAGACAUAGAAAUUUGUGAAAUACAUACGGAUCUGAAUGUCGCAGACCCGUUGACUAAACUUCUCUCACAAGCAAAACAUGAUCACACCUUAAGUACUAUUUGGGUGUUAAUCACAAAGCGAUGUGAACUAGAUUAUUGACUCUAGUAAACCCUUUGAGUGUUGGUCACAUGGCGAUGUGAACUAUGGGUGUUAAUCACAUAAAGAUGUGAACUAUUGGUGUUAAAUCACAUGGCGAUGUGAACUAGAUUAUUGACUCUAGUGCAAGUGGGAGACUGAAGGAAAUAUGCCCUAGAGGCAAUAAUAAAGUUGUCAUUUUAUAUUUCCUUAUAUCAUGAUAAAUGUUUAUUAUUCAUGCUAGAAUUGUAUUAACCGAAAACUUAAUACAUGUGUGGAUACAUAGACAAUACACAGUGUCCCUAGUAAGCCUCUACUAGACUAGCUCGUUAAUCAAAGAUGGUUUAGUUUCCUAACCCUAGACAUGUGUUGUCAUUUGAUGAACGGGAUCACAUCAUUAGGAGAAUGAUGUGAUGGACAAGACCCAUCUGUUAGCAUAGCAUAUUGAUCGUUCAGUUUUAUUGCUAUUGCUUUCUUCAUGUCAAAUACAUAUUCCUUCGACUAUGAGAUUUUGCAACUCCCGGAUACCGGAGGAAUGCCUUGUGUGCUAUCAAACGUCACAACGUAACUGGGUGAUUAUAAAGAUGCUCUACAGGUAUCUCCGAAGGUUUUUGUUGGGUUAGCAUAGAUCGAGAUUAGGAUUUGUCACUCCGAGUAUCGGAGAGGUAACUCUAGGCCCUCUCGGUAAUACACAUCAUAAGAAGCCUUGCAAGCAAAGUGACUAAUGAGUUAGUUGCAGGAUGAUGUAUUACAGAACGAAUAAAGAGACUUGCCGGUAACGAGAUUGAACUAGGUAUGAAGAUACCGACGAUCGAAUCUCGGGCAAGUAACAUACCGAUGGACAAAGGGAAUUACGUAGGUUGUCAUUACGGUUCGACCGAUAAAGAUAUUCAUAGCAUAUGUUGGAGCCAAUAUGAGCAUCCAGGUUCCGCUAUUGGUUAUUGACCGGAGGAGUGUCUCGGUCAUGUCUACAUACUUCUCGAACCGGUAGGGUCCGCACGCUUAACGUUCGAUGACGAUUUUGUAUUAUAUGAGUUAUGUGAUUUGGUGACCGAAUGUUGUUCGGAGUCUCGGAUGAGAUCAUGAACAUGACGAGGAGUCUUGAAAAGGUCGAGAGGUAAAGAUUGAUAUCUAGGACGAUAGUAUUCGGACACCGGAAGUGUUCCGGAGGGUACCGGGUACAUAUCGGGUCACUGGAAAGGGGUUCCGGGCACCCCCGGCAAAGAUAUGGGCCUAAUGGGCCAAGAGGGGAAACACAGCAGCCAGCAUGGGCUGCUGCGCCCCCCAUAGGCCGAACCUGGAGGGGAAGGAAAGAGGGGAAGAGAGAAAGGAAGGGAAGGGAUUCGGCCUCCCCCUUCCUUCCCUCCUCCCUCCCCCUUCCUUCCCCCUCCGGUAAUUAUGGUAAGGGGGGCGAGUAGGACAAGGGCCCCAAGUAGGAUUCCUCCUACUGGGGCACCCCCUUGGCUGCUCCCUCUANNNNNNNNNNNNNNNNNNNNNNNNNNNNNNNNNNNNNNNNNNNNNNNNNNNNNNNNNNNNNNNNNNNNNNNNNNNNNNNNNNNNNNNNNNNNNNNNNNNNNNNNNNNNNNNNNNNNNNNNNNNNNNNNNNNNNNNNNNNNNNNNNNNNNNNNNNNNNNNNNNNNNNNNNNNNNNNNNNNNNNNNNNNNNNNNNNNNNNNNNNNNNNNNNNNNNNNNNNNNNNNNNNNNNNNNNNNNNNNNNNNNNNNNNNNNNNNNNNNNNNNNNNNNNNNNNNNNNNNNNNNNNNNNNNNNNNNNNNNNNNNNNNNNNNNNNNNNNNNNNNNNNNNNNNNNNNNNNNNNNNNNNNNNNNNNNNNNNNNNNNNNNNNNNNNNNNNNNNNNNNNNNNNNNNNNNNNNNNNNNNNNNNNNNNNNNNNNNNNNNNNNNNNNNNNNNNNNNNNNNNNNNNNNNNNNNNNNNNNNNNNNNNNNNNNNNNNNNNNNNNNNNNNNNNNNNNNNNNNNNNNNNNNNNNNNNNNNNNNNNNNNNNNNNNNNNNNNNNNNNNNNNNNNNNNNNNNNNNNNNNNNNNNNNNNNNNNNNNNNNNNNNNNNNNNNNNNNNNNNNNNNNNNNNNNNNNNNNNNNNNNNNNNNNNNNNNNNNNNNNNNNNNNNNNNNNNNNNNNNNNNNNNNNNNNNNNNNNNNNNNNNNNNNNNNNNNNNNNNNNNNNNNNNNNNNNNNNNNNNNNNNNNNNNNNNNNNNNNNNNNNNNNNNNNNNNNNNNNNNNNNNNNNNNNNNNNNNNNNNNNNNNNNNNNNNNNNNNNNNNNNNNNNNNNNNNNNNNNNNNNNNNNNNNNNNNNNNNNNNNNNNNNNNNNNNNNNNNNNNNNNNNNNNNNNNNNNNNNNNNNNNNNNNNNNNNNNNNNNNNNNNNNNNNNNNNNNNNNNNNNNNNNNAAAUAACAUAAAGGGGCCGAAUUGUACUGAUAAUGGAGAUGUGCCAAAGCAUAUAUCUUCCCAAAAUAUGAUUAUCCUACCAUCUCCAACCACCCAUCUAUAGCCUAAUUUAAGUGAUUUGGCAGCCCACAUGUCUCCUUGCUAAAAUCUAGAAGGGUUUUGUGUGGUACAAGAAAACAUAUUAGGCGUGUUCCUUAUGUACUUAGCAUCUACUAUGGAUCUCCAAUCCCCCCCCCCCCAUCAUCUUUUACAAGGAGGCAGAGGUUUACAUGUCUGAUGUUUGGCACCCCUAAUCCUCCAUAUUCUUUUUUCAUACAAACUAAGUUCCAAUUGGCAAUCUGUAAUUUUCUAUUUCCUUCAAAGUCACUCCAAAGGCAGUGAGCUAGUUGGAUAUUUAUUAGCUUCAAAUUCAAGAUGGGAAUGGGCCGGCCCGGACCUGGCCUUGGACCUGGCCCCGUGGCCCCAAGGUCAAUAUGUGAGACCAUGAGUCGACCCAUUUCAUCAAAAAUUUGUGGCCUCACUGACCCAUUGGGUAUAUGAGGCCGACCCAAGAUUAAGAUGGAAAAUCCAUGAAUCCAGUGAUCACUAUCUGAAGACUGGGAAGGCCACUGGGACAGCGAGUUGUACAAGUUAGAGAGGAAUAGUACAGUGACCGAGAUGACCAGCUGGUUUUUCUACGUGCAUAUACUAGUAGUUGACGUAACAAUCAAUCCACCUGUCUCUCUGUCUGCUUCUUGUGUACAACGCAUCUCCAACAGAACCGAUCGAGUUCAUAUACCGUAGAUGCGUCCAGGGGCGUCUCGAACAGGGUCGGCCAGCAGUGAUUAGGGCCUAGCGAUUCGACUGGGUCGACCCAUCUGACCCAUCGGGUCACACGGUGCCGGCUCCACUGAACCAUAUAUCAUUUGAGGCCGACCCAUUUGGCCCAUUGGCCUUGAAAUUUCGGGCCGGGUCAGUGACCCAGCGGGCCGACCCGGCCCGUUCCCAUCUUGACUUCAAAGCCCACUUGGGGAACGUUUUGGGCCUCUUAUUUGACAAACAGACGCAACGACCAUUGCCAGAUCAAACUCCGGGAGCAACUAGUUAACGAGCGCUCCUUCGGGAGCCUCGCAACGAUCAGCGCCACUUGGCGCACUCUCAGCCAUUCGCCAUGUGUCGCGCUUUGGACGCUCCCAUCAGAUUUUGUUUUUUUUUUUAUUUUUCCGUACGCGUUUUUUGUUUUUUAAACGGUUUUUUUCCGGUUUUUUUUACAUUUUGGUUUUCCCCCGGUCUUUCUUAGCUUUUCGAUCAAAAAAAUUUUAAAUUUUUUUUUUCGCGAAAAAACGCGUUUUCUUUUUUUCCCCUUUCGCGAAAGUCACGGUUUUUCUUUCGCGAGAGGCACGGUUGUGCUUUAUCGAGAGUCACGGCCGUGCCUUUCGGAAACGAAAAAAUAAACGUGUUUUCUGUUUUUUUUCUUUCNNNNNNNNNNNNNNNNNNNNNNNNNNNNNNNNNNNNNNNNNNNNNNNNNNNNNNNNNNNNNNNNNNNNNNNNNNNNNNNNNNNNNNNNNNNNNNNNNNNNNNNNNNNNNNNNNNNNNNNNNNNNNNNNNNNNNNNNNNNNNNNNNNNNNNNNNNNNNNNNNNNNNNNNNNNNNNNNNNNNNNNNNNNNNNNNNNNNNNNNNNNNNNNNNNNNNNNNNNNNNNNNNNNNNNNNNNNNNNNNNNNNNNNNNNNNNNNNNNNNNNNNNNNNNNNNNNNNNNNNNNNNNNNNNNNNNNNNNNNNNNNNNNNNNNNNNNNNNNNNNNNNNNNNNNNNNNNNNNNNNNNNNNNNNNNNNNNNNNNNNNNNNNNNNNNNNNNNNNNNNNNNNNNNNNNNNNNNNNNNNNNNNNNNNNNNNNNNNNNNNNNNNNNNNNNNNNNNNNNNNNNNNNNNNNNNNNNNNNNNNNNNNNNNNNNNNNNNNNNNNNNNUUUCGUGAGAGUCACGGUUUUGCUUCCGCGAGAGGCACGGUUGUGCUUACGCGAAAGUCACAGCCGUGCCUCUCGGAAAGGAAAAAAAUACGCGUUUUCAGUUUUUUUUUCUUUCGCGAGAGUCACGGUUUUGCUUUCGCGAGAGGCACGGUUGUGCUUUCGCGAGAGUCACGGCCGUGCCUCUCGGAAACGGUUUUUUGUUUUUUUUCCACGAGAAUCACGGUUUUGCUUUCACGAGAGGCACGGUUGUGAUUUCGCGAGAGGCACGGGCAUGCCUCUUUCGGAAAGGGAAAAAACCGUGCUCCCGGUUCGGUUUUUUCGCCCGGUUUUUUUCGUCCGUUUUUUUCAUGAAAAAAAAGUUUGUCAAAACCUAUCAACAUGGGAUCUAGUUUUGAAGAUCUCGACGCGAGAAAUCCAAUGGUGAAAACGGUUCGAGAUUUCGACGCACGGUUUAAGAGAUAAAACGUUUUGAAUAAACGGAUCUACGAAAAAAGGGAAACUCCCCGGUUGCGGCAAGUGGCGCGCUGCAUGUGCGCCACUUGUCGCGACCUGGGAAAGUGGAGUGUUCUUUGCAACGAGUACUCUUUAAUUAAUGAUUUCGUCAAACUCCGGGUUAAUCCUACAUGACCACAUUACAUAUCAACCCUACUAUAGGUCCACUACCGAGUCACGGGCUUCCAACACAACCUCAAUCAAAGUGCUUUAGCUUGCAGCACCUUGUUACAGCGCCGCCGACUCAGCACCUUCCGGAAAACCUGCAGUGGCAUGUCAAAAUUAUGUGUUUUGGAAGUUGUCGAUAGAACUUCAACAGCUUGCCAGCAAAGAGGACCACAUGAGUCCUAGUAUCAGGCGACACUUGGUGGUAAUUGCUUACGAUUCUGAAAAGAGGUCGGCAAGAAGAAAAAUGGCUAAUAAAAAAAUACUAGUAAUGCUUAGCAGAAAUCACAUACAAUGAAUAACAAUUAGUGUUGAGUGGGUCUGGCAAAAUAAUAGUUUUAUUAAAAGCAUUUAUUAAAUGUAUGUAUCUACCGUAUAAUAAACAAAUAGGACAUCAAAUGAGCUCUGAAUUAGAUGACAUUUUAGGUGUAGCCUCUCUACGCUAUAAUGACCACAAGGAAAAUAAUCGACCCAUUUGGAGAAUUUUUAAUAUUUGUUUUGAAAUUAAUUACAAAAAUGACAUAAAGGUGAUUUGAACUAGGGUUGUGUGCUAGGCUUGUGCAAAAAAUUGUGAAAUAGUUUUUGGGGCAUUCAAAUAUUGUACAAAGUCCAUGUGCAAAGUUGGGACUCUAUCUUAUUCUACAAGGACAAAAGGGAAAAUGGUUUUGGUAAAACCCAAAUAAAUAAACAGUAAAAUAAUUUGCUUUUAUGUGUUUGAUAUAUUUGUUAUGUUUGUUGAGAAUAAUGCAUAGUGAAAUGAUGCCAUUAUGCCAUGAUGAUGCAAAAUAGAAUAACAUACAUUUAUUUUAGGUAAGGAAUUAGUCUAAUCUAUUACAACCAUCUAAAAAUUUCACUAUGGAUGAUGCAUAAGCUGUGAAAGUACCCUUCUACUCCCGAGCUCAUUUGAGCUUGGGAUGAACAGUAAAUUCCGAAAAAAUCAAAAAAAUCUCAAAGUUUUUGGUGCAAACUUUCACAAAUGUUCUCAGUGCAUGGAAAUUUUCAGCCCAAAACAACAAUUGUGGAACGUGUGGCCAAAAAAAAUCAGCACUCCAAAUGCUUUCAAAAAUAUCAUUUUUGGAGAUUAGAUUUUUUUUACCACAACUUCCAGGAAUGUUGUUUUAUGAUAAAUUUUUGCAAGCACAUAAAGCAUUUGUCAAAGCUUGCACUAAAAAAAUUCAGAUUUUUUGAUUUUACUGUUCAUCAGGGUGCAUUUGAGCUCCGGUGUAGAUAUUUCGUGUCCCAUUAACUGAGAAAAUAAUUGGCCCUCUUCUAUCACAACAAAACCCAAUCUUCCUUUCAUGUAUGUGCUCGACUUUUAUGUCAAACUGGAACUCCUUCAAGGUUGACUAUGAAUCGACUCCUACGCGCGGUAGCCCGUGGGAGCGGACAACACACACUCGAAGGCGCUUCGAUAGGUCCGAGGUUGCCAGAAUCAUGAUUUCGAACCGGAUAGGAACUCCGAUGGCAGGAUAGCAAAUCAUAGAAUCUUAUCUAUCAUGAUCGUAGAAACGUAGAUUUUAUGAACUAAAAUCGCAAAAUUGGAUGGGUUAGUUUGGAUGGUAAAAUCGUAUAACAGAACCGCGAUUCUCACAACCAUGGAUAUGUCUAUUGGCUAGCACACGCAAGCACCUUUUUCUUAGACAAGCUCUAGCAAAGUAGUCAUAUUUGCAGCCUCUAUAUCGACAGCGCGCUCCAUAUGAAUUAUGGAGGUCACCGAGGAAAAUCGCAAAGUCAGAAUCCUCAUAUUUGUGCCUCUGUAGUCAUGGGACCCACUCAUCAAUGGGACAUUUUUUUCCAACCUUCUUGCAAUCCCAUGUGAGGUGGGGGGCACCUAAAGUUUCCUUCCCACCACACAAACGAGACGUAACUUUCAUAUGGAGCAUGCUCCAAAAGGUAGCCCCGAGACACCAUAUAUGACAUGGUAGAUAUGGAGGGCACUCCAUAAAAUAUGACGAUCCCUGACAAGAAGGAAACUUUGCCAGAGGGCUUUUUUGACCAAAGUUGCCAUAAUAGAGGUUAUUAUGGCGAUCGGUCAUAUAUAGCCACUCUCAUAGAAUUUCUCUUAAAGGCGCCACGUGAGUCUCUCACGUCCUAUGACCGGUAGAAGUGGUAACCGACAUGUUGGGAUACACAAGUUUUCCCACUGCACAAUGUGCUUCAGUUGUCUGUCACAUGGUGGUGCUGGAUUGUGGGUUAUGUGGUCUACCCUUGAAUUCAUCUUAUUUGUGGCACCGCUAACAAUUGCAUAUUAAGCCUAGAGGGUAGGAACCUAUUUAUGGACUAUAUUUCUGCCACAAAAGUAUGGAUGACCUGAGUUAUGUCAUGGACCAUGAUUCAACACGACAGUUCUAUGAGUCUAAUAUUAUAGUCUCUAGCAUACAUGUGCGAGUUAUGUGCAUGAUCACAUUGCGUAUAUGAGAUUAAGUUCCAAUCCGAGCAUGUGGGUCAACACCUUGCAGAACUAACCAUGCAAAAUGAACCCAACUCUUCCACCAUGAUAAUAAACGUACAUACAUAUUAAUUUUACUAGAGUCAACCUCAAGUAAUUCCUCUAUUGUAUUCUAGCACAGUUUUCCUCGACACCUCGAGUAUUGCUUCCACAAAUGAAAUUACAGCUACAUCGGCACCUCAGGUAUUACUUUUCGAGUAUAAUUUUGCAUUUGUUAUUAUGCAUCAUGUACAUCAAUAAUAUGAACAUUCCAAAUCGAGUUUAAUAAAUAAUAACCAUGUUGAAUCAAUGUUGGAAGUCACAAAAAUACCCCACAAAGGAUGCUAGUUUUCUAGUCUUUUUCGCAUGAUAGUUUACAAAAUUAUAUAAGUUUGAAAUUUCAAAAUAAUUUUGAAAGUUCAAAGUGUUUUAAAAGAAAAAAAUGAAAGUCAAGAUUUCUGAAAUUUAUUUUUGAAAGUACAAAUUCGGAAAGUUAACGUUUUGAAUUUCAAAGAUCCGGAGCGGACACACCGUCCAUGAUCUACCUCGCAUUGUUGUGGUCGUCCUCCUCUUGCACGCAGCUCGAACAAGUAACCGCUCGUGUACUCACGUCCAUGUUGGUCAUGCACUAGCUCGCAUGUGUCGCUGCGCCAUCAGAGAAAGUAUCCCGCACCCAGUGUCGGAGCUAGCGGGGAAUNNNNNNNNNNNNNNNNNNNNNNNNNNNNNNNNNNNNNNNNNNNNNNNNNNNNNNNNNNNNNNNNNNNNNNNNNNNNNNNNNNNNNNNNNNNNNNNNNNNNNNNNNNNNNNNNNNNNNNNNNNNNNNNNNNNNNNNNNNNNNNNNNNNNNNNNNNNNNNNNNNNNNNNNNNNNNNNNNNNNNNNNNNNNNNNNNNNNNNNNNNNNNNNNNNNNNNNNNNNNNNNNNNNNNNNNNNNNNNNNNNNNNNNNNNNNNNNNNNNNNNNNNNNNNNNNNNNNNNNNNNGCCCCCUCAACAUUGCACAUAGCUUCGCCACUGCCCGCACCAACGAUGGCCACCAGACCAUAUCCCACGCCAAUGUGACCACAUACCGCAUGCCACGCCAUGAAAAAGCAUGGCACCCACGUGUUUUGUCUCACGGCGUCCUACGGCGAUGGGAAGGAGGGAGCAGGUGGGACGGGUGAGUUGCUAGGUUGGGGCGCCAAACCAAUGCCUCUUUGAUUCUCAAAAUGCGGUGAUAGAAAAAAAAUCAAGGAUUAUAGUGACAUGUCAUCUCGAAUCCCACCGAAUUAGAAAACUAGGAGAAUUCGGAUAAAGUAGUGUUUGAUACUUCCUUCAUUCCUUUAUACAAGGCUAUUAUGAAAAAUACAUGUCGCAUCUAUAUAAGGCCACUAACAGUAAUCGAGAUAAAAAUUUAUGAUGUUUUAAUACUUGCAUGCAUGUAGUCAUAAUGACAGUAUGCUACUUCAUUCCCGUUCCUUUUUUUGCAUGCAUGCAAAUGUAUUAAUGAUCACGAUUAACGUAAAAAAAAGUUGUCUUGCAAAGCAGUCAUUAAAUUUUAUCUUGAUACCUGUAAUCUGAGUUUGUGGUCUUGUAUAAGGAAAUGGUGAAAGUACCAGCAUAACGAAUUCUAAGGAAAAUUACUACGCAUUUCAAACCCAUGAAUCGAGUAGCCAACAGAGAAAAAAAUCCUAUAAAAUUCUUUGAAUCAAAGCACUUGCCCUCUCGUAUGCUUCGUCUAGUUACGUUCGUUGUCGUCACAUGCCGACACUUCCGAUCCGCAUCUCCUUAAGCAAACAAUGCCAUUUUUGCAAGCGAAAAAGGGGAGGAAUCAUUUUUUUCCGGACGAGGACGAAUGAGGUGGGACGUGGAGACCGGGACGCGCCCGCUGCCUUCCGAGGCCCGGCUCCUCUAGUCGGCAGCCACCUGCCGACCAACUCAUGCAAGCACACGUAGCGCCCUGCCACGGCGAUUCGUUAAUCUGACCACCCCUCAUUAUGGGCUAGUCGGCAGUCACCUGCCCAUCCACUCACGAGAGAACACGUCGUGCUUCGUCUAUCCUCUAACGGCCUAUAAAUACUGCCUCGUGGAGCACCUGCUUCACACAACCACCUGCUCCAAGUAAACACUAAACAACAGCACUAGUAGAUUUCCCAAGUGACAAGUUUGGUGCAGGAUGGAGCACCAGGGACACGGCACCGGCGAGAAGAAGAGCAUCAUGAGCAAGAUCAAGGCGAAGCUCUCCAGCAGCCACGGUGAUCACCAGCAGGCCGCUGCCACCCACGGGCAGCAGGGACACACCACUACGGGGACGCAUGGCACCCCGGCCACCGAUGGUGCCUACGGGCAGCACGGACACACCGGAGCCACCGGCACGGGGAUGCACGAUGCCGACACCGGCGAGAAGAAGGGCGUCAUGGAGAAUAUCAAUGACAAGCUCCCUGGUGACCACGAGGACCACCAGCAGACUGGUGGCACCUACGGUCAACCGGGGCAGACUGCCGCGGCGACGCAUGGCGCCUCAGUUACCGGCGGCACCUAUGGCCAGCAGGGAAACACCGGUAUGGAGACACAUGGCGCCCCGGCCACCGAUAGUGCCUCCAGGCAGCACGGACACACUGGGUCCACCGACACGGUGAUUCACGGCACCGACACCAGCGAGAAGAAGGACGUCGACAAGCUCCCUGGUGGCCAUGGGGACCACCAGCAGACUGGUGGCACCUACGGGCAGAAGGGACACACGGCCGCGGAACCGCAUGGCGCCUCAGCAACCGGCGACACCUAUGGCCAGGAGGGAAACACCAGUACGGGGACACAUGGCGCCCCUGCCACCAAUGGUGGCUACGGGAAGCACGGACACACCAGGACCACCGGGACGGGGAUGCACGGCGUCGAGACGGGUGAGAAGAAGGGUGACGUGGAGGACAUUGAUGACAAACUCCUUGGUGGCCAUGGGGACCACCAGCAAACUGCUGGCACCUACGGCCAUCAGGGACACAUCGCUACGGUGACGCAUGGCACCUCAGCCAUCGAUGACACGUAUGGGCAGCAGGGAAACACCGGUACGGGGACACAUGCCGUACCGGCCACCGAUGGUGCCUAUGGGCAGCACCGACACACCGGGGCCACCGGCACGGGGAUGCACGGCACCAACACGGGCGAGAAGAAGGACGUCAUGGAGAACAUCAAUGACAAGCUCCCUGCUAGCCAUGGGAACCACCAGCAGACAAGUGGCACCUACGGGCAGCAGGGACACACCGAUGUGGCGACGCAUGGCCCCACAGCCACCAGUGGCACCUAUGGGCAGCAAGAAAACACUGGUACGGGGACACAUGGCGCCCCUGCCAUCCAUGGUGCCUACGGGCAGCACGGACACACCGGGGCCAUUGGGGCGGGGCUGCAUGGCGCCGACACGGGAGAGAAGAAGGGCGUCAAGGAGAACAUCAAUGACAAGCUCCCUGGUGGCCACGGGGACCACCAACAGACUGGUGGCACCUACGGGCAGCAGGGACACACCGAUGCGGCGACGCAUGGCGCAUUAGCCACUGGCAACACCACUGUGCAGCAAGGAAUCAUCGGUACGGGGACACAUGGCGCCCCGGCCACCGAUGGUGCCUACGGGCAGCACGGACACACCGGAGCCACUGGCACGAGGAUGCACGGCAUCGACACCGGCGAGAAGAAGGGCAUCAUGAAGAACAUCAACGACAAGCUGCCUAGCGGCGACAAAGACCACCAGCACACCAGUGGCACUUACGGUCAGCAGGCACAAACCGGCACGGCGAUGCAUGGCGCCUCAGCCACGGGCGACACCUAUGGCGAGCAGGGACACACCGAAAUGACCGGCUGGGGGACGCACGGCAACAACGAGAAAAAGGGCGUCAUGGAGGACAUCAAGGCCAAGCUCCCCGGUGGCGACGAUGAUCGCCAGCAAACCGGUGACACCUAUGGGCAGCAGCGACACACCGACACUGCAACACAUGGCACCCUUGCCACCGGCGACACCUACGGGCAGCAGGGACACACCGGGAUAACCGACACGGGGACAUAUGGCACCGGCGAGAAGAAGGGCGCCAUGGAGAACAUCAAGGAGAAGCUCCCUGGUGGCCAUGGUGACCACCAACAGACUGGUGGCACCUACGGGAGCCAGGAAGACACCGAAAUGACUGGAAUCGGGAUGCAUAGCACCACGGCCACAGACGGCAUAGAUGGUCAGCAGGGACACACCGGAAUGACCGGCAGAGUGUCACACGACACCGACGAGAGGAAGGGUGUCAUGGAGAACCUCAAGGAGAAGCUCCCCGACGGCCAUGACGACCACCCGCAGACUGUUCGCACCGACGAGCGCCACGCCGGCACGGGGACGCAUGACACCCCGGCCACCGACGGCACCUAUGGGCAGCACGGACACACUGGAGUGACCGACACAAAGGCGUACGGCUCUGGCGGCACAGGCGAGAAGAAGAGCAUCAUGGAGAACACCAAUCAGAAGCUCCCCGGGGGCCAGAAUGACCGCCAGCAGACCGGUGACACCUACGGGCAGCAAGGACACACCGACACAGCGACGCAUGGCACCCCGUCCACCGGCGGCACCUACGGGCAGCACGGACACACCGGAGUGACCGAUAAGGGAACACAGGGCACCGACGGCAUCGACAAGAAGAAGGAUGCCAUGGAGAACAUCAAGGAGAAGCUCCCCGUUGGCCACGAUGACCACCAGCAUACUGCUGGCACCUACGGGCAGGAUGGACACACUGGAAUGACCGGCACGGAGAUGCAUGGCACCACGGCCACCGACGGUGGGCAGCAAGGACACAACGUAACAACUGGUACUGGGACACACGGCACCGACGGGGCCGGUGAGAAGAAGAGCCUCAUGGACAAGAUCAUGGAGAAGCUGCCUGGACUGAACUAAGCCCGGUCUGCCUACGGCCGCUACCUUUGCAGAAUAA
rnacentral:lncRNA from 1 species